AAGUCGUAACAAGGUAACCGUAGGUGAACCUGCGGUUGGAUCAUUAGUAAUACUUUUUAGUAUCAACCCUUGUGCAUUUUAUUUAUUUACUAGAUUUUCUAGCUUUUGCUAGAGUCUAGGGUUUAAAACCAUUUUUUACUUUAGUCUUGAAUUUUUUAUAACAAAAAAACAACUUUUGACAACGGAUCUCUUGGCUCUC
rnacentral:misc_RNA from 1 species